AUUGAACGCUGGCGGGAGGCCUAACACAUGCAAGUCGAGCGGAGCGGCGGACGGGUGAGUAAUGCCUAGGAAUCUGCCUGGUAGUGGGGGAUAACGUCCGGAAACGGGCGCUAAUACCGCAUACUAUCAGAUGAGCCUAGGUCGGAUUAGCUAGAUGGUGGGGUAAAGGCCAACCAAGGCGACGAUCCGUAACUGGUCUGAGAGGAGGAUCAGACACACUGGAACUGAGACACGGUGCAGACUCCAACGGGAGGCAGCAGUGGGGAAUAUUGGACAAUGGGCGAAAGCCUGCUCCAGCCAUGCCGCGUGUGUGAAGAAGGUCUUCGGAUUGUAAAGCACUUUUAGUUGGGAGGCGUUACCGACAUAAUAAGCACCGGCUAACUUCGUGCCAGCAGCCGCGGUAAUAC
rnacentral:rRNA from 1 species